GAGCGCCUGUCGCCCCCUGCAGCCACCGGGAAGGGGGCUUUGGGCCACCUGCUGCCCUCGGAAUCGCAGAAUCAUUAGGGUUGGGAAAGCUCUCCAGGAUCAUCGACUCCAAGCUGUGCCCGAUGCCCACCUUGUCCCCAGCCCAGAGCACUGAGUGCCACGUCCUACCCUUCCUUGGACACCUCCAGGCAUGGGGACUCCCUGGGCAGCCCCUGCCAAGGCCUGAGCACCCAUUCCAUGAAGAAAUUCCUUCUGAUGUCCUCGGGGUAGCCAAGCUCGGGGACGGGGACAUGACAGUCCCCCCAGGUCAGGCCGUCUGGCCCAGCAGCCCGUGGUAUUUCCAUGGAGCUUUCUGUCCCACUCUGUUCUGCUUCCCACACUGAUCAUAAUUACCCUGGCAGGGAGAAAGUCCCGUUUGUAAAUCUCUAAAUCACUUUUUGUAACUCUUUAAAACAUUAGGAGAUAAAGCCCAUUGUACAAGGCUCUUCUUACUCUAGUAAGUUUCUGGGAAUUAGCAGCGUUCAUGUUUUGCAGGAAAACGACCUUUAUGGGCUCCAAAUAAAGUGGAACAUCAGGUGGAGGGAUUUCCCAGGCUGCUGCAGCCUCCAACCUUUGCAAAUACUCUAUUAUAUAAUUCCUUUCAGAAACGUAUCAAGUUGCAUCUUGAGAUGUUUUGCCACCACUAUUCCCACUGCGAAGCUGUUCCCAGAACCUUCUCCUGAUUUUCGAAUAUAUUCGGGACUGGUCUGCAUCCAUUUAUCCUUGUGCCAACACUGGCCUCAAAGAGAACUUUGUGCUCUCCCAGGCACAGGGGUCCCUCUCGGCCCCCUUGAUUUCCUCACUCCCCCUUUCCUCCAGCUGCAAACCCCAAACCGAUAAAACUGUGGCUGCCCCUGGAUCCUGGGAAGUGUCCAAGGCCAGAUGGGAGCAACCUGGGAUAUUGAGGAAGGUGUCCCUGCCCGUGGCACGGGGAGGAAUGAGCUGGAUUGAGGUUCCCAGCCAUCCCAACUCAUUCUAUGUCCGAUUUUUAAUUCAUGUUUCCACCUCCUGGAUCUGUCUUUAUGUGGGACGUGCUCCCCAUGAUCCAAAGCAUGCCAAGAGCUUGGGGACAGAGCUGCCACAAAACCACCUUUUCCCUCCAGUAUAACCCCAUUUAUUCUCCACCCACUGGAGUUGUGAAUGGAAAGCCCACCUGAACAUUGGGAAGGAAUCCCAAAUUCAGGCACAAUCCUGAUCACAAUCCCUCAAUAUUUGGAUAAACAGGACCCCAUUCCAAUCCACACCCUCUGCAUGGCCACGACCCUGGCUGGCUUCUGAAACGCUGCACUUCCCCACAUCUUUAAAAAGUAUUUUUCCAUGGGAGUUUUUUCAGAGGUUGCCACCACAGCAGCGAUAAAACGAGUGGGAAGAAAACCAGAAGGGUCCCAAGUAUUUUCCUCCAGGAAUGAACGAACACAAUGGUGAACAUGAACUGAAAAACAAAAACCUCUAGAAGAUUAUAAUCUUUUUUACCAUCAAAGCCUGCAGGAGCAGCAUGAAAGGGAGGACUUGCCUGAUCAAAUCAAAAUAAUUUCUUCCAUGAAGAAAUUCCUGCUGAUGUCCCACCUGAACCUCCCCUGGCACAGCCUGAGGCCAUUUCCUCUUGUCCUGUUGCUGGAAAAUCUUGGCUCUAGAGCACAAGGGCUGAAGAGAAAUUGCCAAAACUUUGAGUUAAUUAUGGCUGUUAGACAAUAAAUGUUGUCAUUUUCACCUUUCUUCUGCA